rnacentral:lncRNA from 1 species
UCACCAGGUUCAAAUUCUAAAGUCCUCCUAUGCUUAUCAGCAUAACACUUCUGUCGUGAUCGAGCCGACUUCAAUUUCUCUUUAGCCACCGCUACCUUCUCCGUAGUGAUUUGGACUAACUCAGGCCCUUCUAUGGCCCUUUCGCCAACCUCAUCCCAACAAGUUGGUGCCCGACAUUUCCUACCAUACAAUGCCUCAAAUGGGGCCAUUCCAA